GACGAACGCUGGCGGCGUGCUUAACACAUGCAAGUCGAACGGAAAGGCCCUGCUUGCAGGGUACUCGAGUGGCGAACGGGUGAGUAACACGUGGGUGAUCUGCCCUGCACUUCGGGAUAAGCUUGGGAAACUGGGUCUACUACCGGAUAGGAGCCAUCUUUAGUGUGGUGGUUGGAAAGUUUUUUCGGUGUAGGAUGAGCUCGCGGCCUAUCAGCUUGUUGGUGGGGUAAUGGCCUACCAAGGCGGCGACGGGUAGCCGGCCUGAGAGGGUGUACGGCCACAUUGGGACUGAGAUGCGGCCCAGACUCCGACGGGAGGCAGCAGUGGGGAAUAUUGGACAAUGGGCGCAAGCCUGAUGCAGCGACGCCGCGUGGGUGAUGAAGGCCUUCGGGUUGUAAACUCCUUUCGCUAGGGACGAAGCUGUUUUGUGACGGUACCUAGAUAAGAAGCACCGGCUAACUACGUG
rnacentral:rRNA from 1 species